AACGAACGCUGGCGGCAGGCCUAACACAUGCAAGUCGAGCGGACCCUUCGGGGUUAGCGGCGGAGGAGUGAGUAACGCGUGGGAACGUGCCCUUUGCUUCGGAAUAGCACUGGGAAACUGGGAGUAAUACCGGAUACGCCCUUUUGCGGAAGGAUCUAUCGGCGAAGGAUCGGCCUGCGUUGGAUUCGGUAGUUGGUGGGGUGAUGGCCUACCAAGCCGACGAUCCAUAGCUGGGUUGGGAGUAUGAUUAGCCACACUUGGAAUGAGAAACGGCCCAGACUCCUUCGUGAGGAAGCAGUGACGAAUCAUAGACCAUGGCGUAAACCCUGAUGUAGCCAGGCCGCGUGAGCGAAGAAGGCCGGAGGGAAGUAAAGCUCUUUCACCGGUGAAGAUAAUGACGGUACCCGGAGAAGAAGCCCCGGCUAACUCCGUG
rnacentral:rRNA from 1 species